rnacentral:rRNA from 1 species
AUUGAACGCUGGCGGCAUGCUUUACACAUGCAAGUCGAGCGGUAACAGGCCGCAAGGUGCUGACGAGUGGCGAACGGGUGAGUAAUGCAUCGGAACGUGCCCAGCCGUGGGGGAUAACUACUCGAAAGAGUAGCUAAUACCGCAUACGAUCUAUGGAUGAAAGCGGGGGACCGUAAGGCCUCGCGCGAUUGGAGCGGCCGAUGUCAGAUUAGGUAGUUGGUGGGGUAAAGGCUCACCAAGCCAACGAUCUGUAGCUGGUCUGAGAGGACGACCAGCCACACUGGGACUGAGACACGGCCCAGACUCCUACGGGAGGCAGCAGUGGGGAAUUUUGGACAAUGGGCGCAAGCCUGAUCCAGCAAUGCCGCGUGCAGGAAGAAGGCCUUCGGGUUGUAAACUGCUUUUGUACGGAACGAAACGGCUCUGGUUAAUACCCGGGGCUAAUGACGGUACCGCAAGAAUAAGCACCGGCUAACUACGUG